CAACCACAUAUCACCCAAACCAUCUCCAAGUGGAUGUCAGCAAGGAUCCAGGAUCAAGAGAUCAUUCUUCAUGAAGACUGUUCCAUAGGAAGCAGUGAAUCCUGGGUCAUCCUGACCAUUCUGCUGUCCUGGACGUGAGGAUAUGCUGAAACUGCAUUUCUCAUGGUUGAAAGAUAUCUGCAGCGGUAUCCAGACAUAUAAGCAGCCUUCCUGGACCCACACGACUAAAGGCUCUGGAGGAGAAACAGCUCAGAGAAGGAUAUUGACGGUGCAGGCUCAGGAUGAAGAAGAGGGGGAAGAACACGUUUAACAAUUUUCUCAUACCUUUGCCAUGUUUUAUAAUAAAAACAAUAAACCUGACUACAAUAAUAUGCUAAAUGUUAUUAAAAGAUUCCAGUUGGCAAGAAAUCUGGAGUCUCUGACUCUGCAUUAGAGGAACUCUUUCCUGAAGAAGAUCAGGUGCUGAGAAGGAGCCUUGUUCUACAGCAAAACACUGCAUCAAGCCUCCUGUCCUUCCCUCAGAAGAGCCUGUCUUCUGCUGCUGGGGUAAGAAAGACAUUCCUCUUCUCUAUCGGCUGUCCAGCACCUAACUCUGCCUCCUCAGCACUGUCUGAAAGAGUCUUCUCCACAGUCAGUAAUCAGAGAUCACACAUUUCUCCUGAGAAAUUCAACACGCUCAUUUUCUAAAAACUGUUUGUGUUUUGAAGUGGGCCAAAUAACACA